CAGCUCUGUUAGUCAGCUUAGGGCUGGGGCAGUGAGGGAACUCGGCCAUAUAUCUGUCAUCGUCCAGCAGAUCAGCCCAGGCUCUUUCACACAGGGGUUGGUAGGAGGAUUCCAAAAGCAGCAAGUUAAGACAAGCUCCCACAGAUUUCUCACACCAGGUGUUCAAAUCCCAGAGAGAAAACUUCCUCUUUUCAGUCUGACAUUUUCAAAUGUGUUGAUACAUACCCGAUGGAGUGAUUCUGCAGAAGAUGGUGCCACUCAUAGCUCCAACCUGAAUGAAGUAGCUCCCCGAAUUCUAUUUAUGUCAUAAUGAAUAUAUUCAACUUAAUUUUGUCAAAGACUUCAUAGGCGCACCUGCAGCUAAGAGUGCAGUAUGGAUCUGGAGUGAUUCUGAAUUUUCUUUCCACAAAAAUAAUUUUGGCAGCUUGGGAUCAAUAUCUUCCUCCCAUAUGUUUCAUAUUCUCUAUAAAGUAUAAUUGAAGACACCCUUCUCAACAGUACUUCUCAGUACGAAUACAUUCAGAAAUUCUAAAUAGGUAAUUUGAAAAGGAAGGAAACUAACAUUUGGCGAGUGUUUUCUAUGACAUUCCAGGGCUGUGUGUUAUGCACCUUUGCAUAUGUCAUUUCAUUUAAUCUGCACAACAAUGUGAGAACGACGAUGUCAAGCUUACUUUUGCAGGACAGGAGACUGAGGCUCAGAGAGGCUAAAAUACUUGCCUAAGAUCACACAGUCAUUAGCGGUACAGCCAGGAUCGGAAGCCAACGUUGUCUGACUCCAGAGCUUGCUCUGUUGUGUGUGCUCUCAACACUACAUCUCUAAUUCUCCACCCCUCCCAAUCCCAAGCCUCUCCUUAUUGAGAAUAUGGACUAAAUCUUUGGGGGAAAAUCCAAAUGCUGACACCAAAUCUAGAAAGAGCUUUCUUGGACUGGACUUUGAAGGAACAUUUUUGGCUCAAACUUACACUUGGACCACAUCUACUUCAUCUUUAGUUAAUCGGCUUCAGUGUUCUCAUUUCCUUGUGUGUAAACGGAAGCAAAGUUGGACAAGGAUGUCCGUGACCUUGGACCAAAGGAGACUUUCACUUUAUUUGAGGAAAUCCUUGUCUUCCUCCAGGAGAUGAGAAGGAAUCGGUCCCAGCCCAGGGAGAUGGAUUCUUUCCUCUGCUGCUCUGACAGCCAUCUCGGCAACUCUCCCGACCAAACUCCCCAGGCUGUGGCGUGCCCCGCCGUGUGGUUCCUGUUGGGAGGCAAGGACAUGUGCUGGAUGUGUAUGCAGUCUUUGAAGCUGGAGAGGCCUGUGUUGGAAACUGUGCUCUGUCCCAUGCCAGUUCCCUGACCUUGGAAGGAGGAAAUUGAAAGUGUGAAACACCAGUGGGAGGAAAAGGUUCCUGUAACAAAUGUGGUUAUCAAUGGGAAAGAAGCUUUCUAGAGCUUAUAUACGGGGCCGAGUCAUGCACACUUCAUCAUACUCACCAGGGGACGACCCAGACCAUCAUUCUUCUCUGGUCUGCCACCUUCAUCCUCCACUUGCAGCCUCCUUUGCAGUGACCAUACAGGUGCAGAGCAUGAGCAGGAUGCACAGGGGUUUAUGUGGUCAGGCCUGCCUGGAGUUGGCACAUAGCAUUUCUGCUUCCAUUCUUAGGUCUGAAAUCCAGGUCACAGAGCCCUAACAUAACUACAAAGGAUCCUGAAAAGUGUUGUAUUCCAGUGUGCCUCGGAAAAGAAAAUAGGAUUAAUAAACUUUGAUUAGACUAAAUCAUUGA
rnacentral:lncRNA from 10 species